UGAGGAAUCUUGCGCAAUGGGGGAAACCCUGACGCAGCAACGCCGCGUGAGUGAGGAAGGUUUUCGAAUCGUAAAGCUCUGUCAGGUGGAAAGAAAUGUAUGGAUGUGAAUAGCGUUCAUACUUGACGGUACCACCAGAGGAAGCACCGGCUAACUCCGUGCCAGCAGCCGCGGUAAUACGGGGGGUGCAAGCGUUGUUCGGAAUCAUUGGGCGUAAAGAGCGUGUAGGCGGCUCGAUAAGUCAGAUGUGAAAGCCCUGGGCUCAACCCAGGAAGUGCAUUUGAUACUGUCUUGCUUGAGUAGGGGAGAGGAAAGCGGAAUUCCUGGUGUAGAGGUGAAAUUCGUAGAUAUCAGGAGGAAAAGCGGUGGCGAAGGCGGCUUUCUGGCCCUAUACUGACGCUGAGACGCGAGAGCGCGGGUAGCAAAGA
rnacentral:rRNA from 1 species